rnacentral:rRNA from 1 species
UACGGAGGGGCUAGCGUUGUUCGGAAUUACUGGGCGUAAAGGGCGCGUAGGCGGCGAUUCAAGUCAGGCGUGAAAGGCCUGGGCUCAACCCGGGAACUGCGUUUGAUACUGGAUUGCUGGAGUCCGGGAGAGGAUCGCGGAAUUCCCGGUGUAGAGGUGAAAUUCGUAGAUAUCGGGAGGAACACCGGUGGCGAAGGCGGCGAAUCUGGGUCGAUACUGACGCUGAGGUGCGAAAGCGUGGGGAGCAAACAGGG